rnacentral:rRNA from 1 species
GACGAACGCUGGCGGCGGGCUUAACACAUGCAAGUCGAACGGAAAGGCCCUGCUUGUGUGGGGUGCUCGAGUGGCGAACGGGUGAGAAACACGGGAGUAACCUGGCCUUGAGGGUGGGAUAACUUGAGGAAACUGGGGAUAAUACCGGAGAGGAGCUGCUGCUGCAGGGGGGGGGUUGGAAAGUUUGGGCGGGGGGGGAUGGACUCGGGGCUUAUCAGCUGGUGGGUGGGGGAGUGGCUUACCAAGGCAUUGGUGGGUAGCCGGCCUGAGAGGGUGAACGGCCACAUUGGGCCUGCGAUAGGGAGCAGUGGCGUACGGGAGGCAGCAGUGGGGAAUAUUGCCCAAUGGGCCGAAGCCUGAUGAAGCAGCGCCGCGUGCGGGAUGACGGCUUUCGGGUUGUAAACCGCUGUCGCCUGUGACGAAGCGUGAGUGACGGUAAUGGGUAAAGAAGCACCGGCUAACUACGUG